rnacentral:misc_RNA from 1 species
AACAUAAAACAACUUAUAGGUCCAAUUGAAAAGUGAUAAAUUUCAAGAUCUAUCAAUCAAAAAAUCACAUAUGACCUAGAAAUAACCUCCUUUUGAAAAUUUGAAAGAACCCAAACUAAAAGAAAAAGGAAGAAAGAAGAGAAUUUUCAUCUCGAAACAAGAUCUUCAUUUUAAAAUACACCAAUCACCUAAAAAAGAAGAAAAAAACUAUAGGAUUUUAGCAGUUCCCCAUAAGAGAAAAUUUUCAUUUCAAGAAGAACCAAAGCCAAACUAAAACUCAAACCCAAAAAUUCAUUAUGUGAAUAGGAAACAAAAAUGUUGAG